CCGGUUCGGUCCAUCUUCUAUUUGGCUCCACGCCUCCCCUCCCCUCCAUCUCUCUAUUCAACUCCUCCAUAAUUCACGCCUCCACCACAAGUGCAGAGGUAUUACAUGGUUCGGUUCACCUACUCAUCAAGAUAAAUGCAGAACAAUUUAAUGGGGGCAGCAAAGCCGUCGUCUUCUCCUUUGAAAGGCUUUGCUCUUCUGUAUCCAGGUCCAUGACCAUCAGCCACGCCGCCGCUCACCUCUACCGCCGGCCACCGCCCAUACGCCGCCUAUCCUCCUCCCUCGCCGGCUCGCCCCUCCUCACCAGCCUCCUCCCUUGUGGCCGCGCCGCCCUCUUUGUCCCGCAAUAGCUCCUUUUUAUUUUUUGAAGAUUUGGUUCGGUGUUGCAUUGAGCCGUAAGAGCUAUAAAUACUUCCCCAAAUACGAAUGCUUUCUGGAGAGGAAUUAUUCGAUGCAUUCCCUGUUGCCGGCAUCAGCAAAUCCUAGCUUCAUUCUCGAUUUCACCUCUCCGGGUGCAAAGUUGCUGGCCGAUUGAUCUGCCGCCGGCGGUGCAGGUCUUUUAGUAAGUAUGUCUCAUACAUAGUUUGUGAAGACUAACCAAGUGGUUGCUACUAUUUGCAGGAUUUGAAAUUUAUUUGACCAACAACAUUAUUUCAUUUCAGCCAGCCGAGGUAUUAUGCUUUUGAUCUUCCUCUGUAUCAAUCGGUUGUCACUACAGUCUACACCACACCAUCAUCAUUUGCCACAUUAUUAAGAAGCUUACGUUGGCCGUCGUCUUUAGAGAGUGAAUCCACAUCCAUCCAGAUGCCAGUUUUAUCAUGUAAUCCUUUUAACUGACAUGGUUGUUUCUAUCUCCCCUGCCAUAUGCAUGCACAGAUCCAAGUUUCUAGCAGGCCGGUCGCAGAGGCUACCAUCUAAAGUAUUGUACACGUGUACUUCUGAUUCACCGUGUCCAUUUUAUCCUCUUCAUGGCUAGAUGACAACGUCCAUCAUAAAUUACAUAUCACUUAAGAUAAUUACAUCAGUGCCAGGCCACCUUAUAGGAAGUUUUUGUAAAAGGGCAAAAUGGAAAUUCAAUUGAGGUAUCCAUUUUUUGUCUUCCUUUCUUUCCUUUCGUUCUUUUACCGAAAUGUGUUUUUCAAAAAUUUGAAAUAUGAAUAUCAGAUGCCAUUCGACACUUUAACUUUA